rnacentral:rRNA from 1 species
CAGUCGCCGCGGUAAUACGGAGGGUGCAAGCGUUGAUCGGAAUUACUGGGCGUAAAGCGCACGCAGGCGGUUUGUUAAGUCAGAUGCGAAAUCCCCGAGCUUAACUUGGGAACUGCAUUUGAAACUGGCAAGCUAGAGUCUUGUAGAGGGGGGUAGAAUUCCAGGUGUAGCGGUGAAAUGCGUAGAGAUCUGGAGGAAUACCGGUGGCGAAGGCGGCCCCCUGGACAAAGACUGACGCUCAGGUGCGAAAGCGUGGGGAGCAAACAGGAUUAGAUACCCCGGUAGUCCCUGUCUCUUAUAC